UAAAUUGUUGCAUGUAACAAGGAAUUAAUGCAACACUAAGCUAAGUUCAUAACAAAUAAUUUUAGCUUAUUAUUUCUUUUGAUCAAACAAUGACUUAUGUUAAGCUUGUUACUUUGGCUGUCUUCAUGCUCACCACAUUCUUAAUCGUCGAGACGAUGAACAUUGAAGCAAGGCUGUGUCCAACCGCCGGUACGGCUUGUUCACAACGUAGGGGGAAUUCAUGCGGCGGCAUCGAGUGUAUUUGUGUCUCUCAGGGGUAUCCUUAUGAUGGAGGUAUAUGCAAGUCACGCAAUUGAAAAAGACUACUUGAGGAUGGCUUUGGAAAUUGCCACUUAAGAAUUAUAUGUCUCAAAAACUAAAAACCAACCAUGCAUGUUAUCAUGCAUGCAUCUACUACUUUAAAUAAAACAACCUUUGUUUUCAAUUGAUCAAUUGUAUUUCUUCGAUAUCUGUCUGGAUUUUAAUAGAUGAUUUUGAUUCGUACA